UUGAUAAAGCAAAUUUCUCUAUGUUAUUUUCUCAAAUUUGUAUCAUUUUUUGACAAUACUUAAAAAACUCGGUUAAACUGGCCAUUUUAUUAUUUUCAAGGUUUAAGAUAUACCUUAAACCAGGUAUAUCUUAAACCGUGAUUAUUUUAAUGAAAUCUACGUACAAUUCCCAAUAAUACUAUAUACAUUUCAGCUCUUCCAUUAACUUGUUCACCUGAUUUACAUGAUAGUAUUGACUACACUUUUUCUCCUGGAACAUCAUCAUAAUUUCCUAGUAAAAAAUCUAGAUAUUCAGAUUCUUAAGUCCUUGUCCUUCAGUUUGGUUUGAAGAAAUACCGAGAAAAAUUUUAUACGCCUACAAUUGAAGAAUGACAAUUUCAUCUCGAAAAACAUUUGUUUUCACCCAGUAGUACAAUCUUAAACAAUGAGCAACACGAGAAACCCUCAUGGACAGGUGCAAUAUUGACAAUAAUGAAUCAAGGGAGACGAAAAAAAAUUGAAAAAACAAUGUGUUACUGAACCUCAAGUUAUUACUACCUACAACAAUCACUUUUGAAGACUUACAAUCUGAAAUACGGAAGUUGUGUAGUGUUGCAAUAUUACAAUAAUGUAUUAUUGUCUACAUCCUGGGACUGAACAACACAUGAAUAUAUAUACAUAACAACUGCUAUUUGUAACCAACAACUUGAGGUAAUUCUUAUCAAACUUCUGAUUGGUAUUCAUCAACACGAAUCAGGCAUUAAAUAAACCUAUUGUGUCUGAAUCAUAUACAGUUUAAAUUAUUAUAAGCAUUUAUAUUAUGGUUUCCACACAGCAUUAUGGCUUUUGAAAAUGUAUAUCAGCUAACAGUACAUCAUUGAUUUGAGCAAAAUGUAACUUCAUCAAAAAUGUAUUUUGGAGAUGUCAACAAUUAUGAUUACCAUAUUGAUUGUACCUUUUAUGUUGGACUGAUCAUUGUUGAAACGUCUAGUGAGUAUAUUUUUAAACAU